rnacentral:rRNA from 1 species
ACGGCUCAGUAACACGUGGCUAACCUGCCCUCGGGAUGGGAACAACCCCGGGAAACUGGGGCUAAUUCCCGAUAGGUGAAGAACUCUGGAAUGAGUCUUUGCCCAAAAGGUGCCGAAUCAUGCUUUCGGCAUCGCCCAAGGAUGGGGCCGCGACCGAUCAGGUUGUUGGUGAGGUAAUGGCCCACCAAGCCUAUAACCGGUGCAGGCCGUGAGAGCGGGAGCCCGGAGAUGGGCACUGAGACAAGGGCCCAGGUCCUACGGGGCGCAGCAGUCGCGAAAACUUUGCAAUACACGAAAGUGUGACAGGGUCAUCCCGAGUGCCGACCGCUGAGGUUGGCUUUUACCCAGUCUAGAAAGCUGGGGGAAUAAGGAGAGGGCAAGUCUGGUGUCAGCCGCCGCGGUAAUACCAGCUCUCCGAGUGGUGUGGACGUUUAUUGGGCCUAAAGCAUCCGUAGCUGGCUGAACAAGUCCCCUGUUAAACCCACCGAUUUAAUCGUUGGUCUGCGGGGGAUACUGCUCGGCUAGGGGACGAGAGAGGCAGACGGUAUUCCCGGGGUAGGGGUGAAAUCCUAUAAUCCCGAGAAGACCACCAGUGGCGAAGGCUGUCUGCUAGAACGCGCCCGACGGUGAGGGAUGAAAGCUGGGGGAGCGAACCGGAUUAGAUACCCGGGUAGUCCCAGCUGUAAACGAUGCAGACUAGGUGUUUGGACGGCCACGUGCCGUUCUAGUGCCGCAGGGAAGCUGUUAAGUCUGCCGCCUGGGGAGUACGAUCGCAAGAUUGAAACUUAAAGGAAUUGGCGGGGGAG